UACGUAGGCAGCGAGCGUUGUUCGGAAUUACUGGGCGUAAAGAGUGUGUAGGCGGUGUUCCCAGUCUGUUGUGAAAUCUCCCGGCUUAACUGGGAGGGUGCAGCGGAAACUAGAAUGCUAGAGGGUGGGAGAGGUAAGCGGAAUUCCUGGUGUAGCGGUGAAAUGCGUAGAUAUCGGGAGGAACACCUGUGGCGAAAGCGGCUCACUGGACCACAACUGACGCUGAGGCGCGAAAGCUAGGGGAGCAAACAGG
rnacentral:rRNA from 1 species